rnacentral:rRNA from 1 species
AAUUCCCGUUGAUCCUGCGGGGGAUUGCUGCUAUCAGGAUUCGAUUAAGCCAUGCAAGUCAGGUCAGCAAUGGCCGGCAACAGGCUCAGUAACACGUCGAUAAUCUGCCCUUAGGUUAGGAAUACCCACGGAAAACUGUGGCUAAAUCCUGAUAUUGAAGAGAUUCUGGAAAGAGCUUUUCAUUAAACGCAAGGUCUAAGGAUGAGUCGGCGGCGGAUUAGGCAGUUGGCGGUGUAACGGACCACCAAACCUAAGAUCCGUAGGGGCCCUGAGAGGGGUAGCCCCGAGAGGGACACUGAAAUACUGGUCCCAGCUCCACGGAGUGCAGCAGGCGCGUAACCUCCACAAUGCGCGAAAGCGUGAUGGGGGGAUCCUGAGUGCUUACAUUAAUUGUAAGCUUUUGCCAAGAGCAAAUAUCUUGGAGAAUAAGUGGUGGGAAAGACCGGUGCCAGCAGCCGCGGUAACCCCGGCGCCACAAGUGGCAAUCUUAUAUUGGGCCUAAAGCAUUCGUAGCCGGUUUGAAAAAUCUCUUGUGAAAUUGUUGAACUCAAUACAACAGCAUGCAGGAGACACUUUCAAGCUAGAGACUGGGAGGAGUUAGGGGUAUUUCUGGGGGAGCGGUUAAAUGUGAUAAUCCUAGAAAGACCACCUGUGGCGAAGGCGCCUAACUAGAACAGUUCUGACGGUGAGGGAUGAAAGCUAGGGUAGCGAUCCGGAUUAGAUACCCGAGUAGUCCUAGCUGUAAACACUGCGAGCUAGGUGUCGCAUAUUCUACGCGAAUAUGCGGUGUCGAAAUGAAGAUGAUAAGCUCGCCGCCUGGGAAGUACGGUCGCAAGACUGAAACUUAAAGGAAUUGGCGGGGGAAUACACCAGGAGUGCGGCGUGCGGUUUAAUCUAACUCAACGCAGAACACCUCACUAGGAGCGACGGCAGGAUGAAGAUCAGUCUGAAGGGCUUAUCUGACGAGCCGAGAGGUAGUGCAUGGCCGUCGUCAGCUCGUGUCGUAAGAUGUCCAGUUAAGUCUGGCAACGAGCAAGACCUGUAUCUAUAAUUGCUACCAGGUUCCACGGAAUGACUGAGCCCAUUAUAGAGACUGCCUUCGUAAGAAGGAGGAAGGUGCAGGCAACGGUAGGUCUGUAUGCUCCGAAUCUCCUAGGCUACACGCGCGCAACAGUGGUGAAGACAAUGGGAUGCAACUCCGAAAGGAGAAGCCAAGCCUCGAAACUUCAUCGUAGUUUAGAUUGUGGGUUGCAACUCACCCACAUGACAACGGAAUUCCUAGUAAUCAGACUUCAUCAUAGUCUGGUGAAUAUGUCCCUGUUCCUUGCACACACCGCCCGUCAAGCCAACCGAGCAGGGUUUAGAUGAGCCCUAAUUUUUUGAUUAUUGCGAAUCUAAGCUCAGUAAGGUGGGUUAAGUCGUCACAAGGUCACCGUAGGGGAACCUGCGGUGGGAUCACCUCCUU